AUUGAACGCUGGCGGCAUGCCUUACACAUGCAAGUCGAACGGCAGCGGGGGAGAAGCUUGCUUUUCCUGCCGGCGAGUGGCGAACGGGUGAGUAAUACAUCGGAACGUGCCCUGUAGUGGGGGAUAACUAGUCGAAAGAUUAGCUAAUACCGCAUACGACCUGAGGGUGAAAGUGGGGGACCGCAAGGCCUCAUGCUAUAGGAGCGGCCGAUGUCUGAUUAGCUAGUUGGUGGGGUAAAGGCCUACCAAGGCGACGAUCAGUAGCUGGUCAGGGAGGACGGUCAGCCACACUGGGACUGAGACACGGCCCAGAAUCCUACGGGAGGUAGCAGUGGGGAAUUUUGGACAAUGGGCGAAAGCCUGAUCCAGCAAUGCCGCGUGUGUGAAGAAGGCCUUCGGGUUGUAAAGCACUUUUGUCCGGAAAGAAAUGGCUCUGGUUAAUACCUGGGGUCGAUGACGGUACCGGAAGAAUAAGGACCGGCUAACUACGUGCCAGCAGCAGCCGCGG
rnacentral:rRNA from 1 species